rnacentral:rRNA from 1 species
GACGUAGGGCGCGAGCGUUGUCCGGAUUUAUUGGGCGUAAAGAGCUCGUAGGCGGCUUGUCGCGUCGAAUGUGAAAACCCACGGCUCAACUGUGGGCUUGCAUUCGAUACGGGCAGGCUAGAGUUCGGUAGGGGAGACGUGGAAUUCCUGGUGUAGCGGUGAAAUGACGCAGAUAUCAGGAGGAACACCGGUGGCGAAGGCGGGUCUCUGGGCCGAUACUGACGCUGAGGAGCGAAAGCGUGGGGAGCGAACAGG